rnacentral:ncRNA from 1 species
GGUCACGAGAGUCAGCGCCAAGCCCCAGCUUGCUGACCGGCAACCCUCCCUACCGCGGCGGGGUGCCCUGGGUGAAGACCUGGCCGUGACGUCGUCCGACGUCCACGGCAAGCGCGGG